UCUCUCUCCUGAGGACACUAUCCCAGACUUAUGGAAAAUUUUACUGCGCCCACAAGUGGACAGUGAGCAGCAGUGUGCGUCAACAUCGACUGAGCACAUUGCAGCGAGCAGUAUGGUGGCCAGUGGCAGCGAAGAUCAUGAAAAUGGCCUUGGAAUUUCCUUCGAUCUGACUCCUGGAAGGUAGCCUUGCGCUACAGAUUCAAGAAUCAGCGAAGGGUUCUUCCGGGCGUUGGUCGCGUGGGCGAGAACCGUGCGAAGUUUGGGUCGCGCAGGAAGGGCAGUGAAGAAACGGCCACGGUGGAGCUGCAGCGGCACAAAGUGCAAAAGAUGGAUGUUGCUAUCUCUACAAUAGCCGGAGAAGACAAAACAAGUUUUGAAAUGCACACGGAGUGGCUCAGUUGUGAAUCUCGCAAAGGCUCUCCUGACGAGGAUCAAUUCAAUGAAAGGAUGGCCUUGACAUGUCGCCAAAGAAUUUCUGACAUCGCAACAAAUAGUAUUCAUGAGGCGAAGAGGAAGUACCCAUACAUGAUGAGCUUUGAGCGGGACCAGAUAAUCCCUGCAACCCCUUGCAUCGGAUUUUCUGGAGCAGACGUUGUAGAGGCUGACCUUCUCCAUUUAAGGUGGACCGGGAGAAGUUGCUUGCGGUGAAAAAUGGGGAGGAGGAGCUGGCGGCUGUCUUGUCUGCUUACUGGCUCUUCAAUAUCCAGUACGACCGCAAGCUGUUCAACACUCUUGUCGCGUUGGAGUGCCUUUUCCUUGGGCUCACAUUGAGUGCCCCUAGAGUAGUGGCUACAAAAUUCUUGAACAAGGUCACCAAAAGUGAGCCGUGUUGAAUGUGCUGUUGGCCGUCUUGGCCGUAACAAUAUUGAAGUGGUAACAAACUUUUGAUACCAAAGUGAUAACUUUUGAUAACAAAGUGGUAACUUUUGAUAACAAAAAAAUUUAAGUCUAGCCAGCUUCCGCCGUUGAGCCGGUGGAGGCAAAUCAAGUAACCGAAGCAUUUCGGAAACAGAGUCAAUGCGAUAAUACCGGGAGAGAAUGAAGCUUGCAGAUUUUUUCUGUAUCUUCUUAAUGCGAUUUAUUAAUCCAUAUUGAAACGGAUCCCAAAUGACACUGGCAUACUCUAACGUCGGUCUAAUGUAAGUUAAAAAUGCAAGUAGUUUGGCGGGUGUGGUUUCUAGCUUUAAUUUUCUGCGAAGGAAGCAUAACUUUUUUUUUUGCAGCUCCACAAAUUCUGUUUACGUGUGAUUUCCAACUUAAGUCCUUCGAAAUUGUUAAACCUAGGUAUUUUAUCGUUUCGGCUUCAGUUAAAAUUGUUGAGUUCAUUUCAUAAUUACACUCAAUAACAUGCUUUGUUUUGUUUAUAACUCUGAGCAGGCCUGAUUUAGAUUCGUUAAUUUUCAUUUUACUUUUUAUGGCCCAGACUACAGCUUUAAGGGCUUGACUAAGUGACGCCUGAUUGUUAUGGUUAUUGAUUUCACGAUAUAAUAAACAGUCGCCUGCAAAUAACAGGGUGGUUAUGUCGUUAUUUAUGUGAUGAGCAAUAUCAUUUAUGUAAGCUAGAAAAAGAAGUCCUAAAACGGAUCCCUGCGGAACGCCUGAGGUUAUGUUUAAUCAGUUAGAUUUGUUACCAUUUAUAUCAGCGUAUUGUGUCCGAUCCGUAAGAUAUGAGCGGAUCCACAUAACAUCAUAAUUUAUAUUCAUUUCCAUCAGUUUUUUAAUUAAUUCGUUAUGCACGACCAGAUCGAAAGCCUUCGAGUAAUCUAAAAAUGUAGCGUCGACCUGCUUUCUAUUGUUCAAUUGUAUUGUUCUAUUUCUAUUGUUCAUAUGUAUUCGUGUUGCAUUAAUUAUUCAUGUUCUUAAUAAAUUUACUUUGAUACCA